AUAAUACUCCCUCCGUUCGGAAUUACUUGUCACAGAAAUGGAUGUAUCUAGAUGUAUUUUAGUUCUAGAUACAUCCAUUUUCGAGACAAGUAAUUCCGAACGGAGGGAGUACUUA
rnacentral:pre_miRNA from 1 species